AUGUUUCAGACGGCGGCAACGCAGACCGAAGCAGAAGAGCCGUCUGAGAGAGACGCCGACAGGUUCAGGGUGCCUAAUAUUACUUUGAAUGUAGUUGUGUCUCAACAGCAACUGCAGCAACAGCAACAGCAGCAACAGCAGCAACAGCAGCAACAGCAGCAACAGCAGCAACAGCAGCAGCAGCAGCAGCAGCAGCAACGGCAGCAGCGCCAGGACCGGGUGCAGGAGGUCCUUGCAACUUUUCCAGCCGGUCGGCCGCCGACCCGGCCAGAAAUCAAGGCGAGAAUUAAAGGUCUAUACCCGAAAGCCGGCCAAGAGGACCGGCUCUCCUUGCUCCGAAGAGUAGAAACUGAAAUAGCUACUCCGAAGUGUACCGGUGGAAUCAAGAAUUUUCAUCUCAGUUCAAAGAACAAUGAUAAAGAGGAGAAAGUUAAUGAUGCUGAUACUAACAGGGUUCAGUCCUCCGUCAACUCACUGCCAGACAGAGGAGGCAAGAUUUAUAAUAACGCUUUAGAGGCGAUUGGGGACGUCAAGAGUGGGAGUACUCUUCUUGUCGGAGGUAUGUUUGCAAAAUUUCUCUUUUCUCAGUUUUUCAAUAAGUUAUAUUUUGUUAUGUGAGGAGGUAGCCAAGUGCCAAAUGGACGUAUUUAUGCUAAAUGGAACUAUGUGCAAGUGGAAAGAUGGGGUGGGGUGUGCUCGUUAGUGGUCAGGCUAUAAGAAUGAAUGGGGAUUUUAAAUCGCCAGUGACGUCAGCGGCGACGAUCGAGAUGCAUAACGGUGACUAGCUCAUCG
rnacentral:lncRNA from 1 species